rnacentral:rRNA from 1 species
UACGUAGGGUGCAAGCGUUGUCCGGAAUUAUUGGGCGUAAAGGGCUCGUAGGCGGUCCAUCGCGUCGAGAGUGAAAAGCUGGGGCUUAACCCCAGUCCUGCUUCCGAUACGGGUGGACUAGAGGUAGGUAGGGGAGAACGGAAUCCAGGUGUAGCGGUGAAAUGCGUAGAUAUCUGGAGGAAUACCGGUGGCGAAGGCGGCAUCCUGGACCGACAUUGACGCGUGAGGAGCGAAAGCGUGGGGAGCGAACGAGG